rnacentral:rRNA from 1 species
CCUACGGGUGGCAGCAGUGAGGAAUAUUGGUCAAUGGACGAGAGUCUGAACCAGCCAAGUAGCGUGAAGGAUGACUGCCCUAUGGGUUGUAAACUUCUUUUAUAUGGGAAUAAAAUGUUCCACGUGUGGGAUUUUGUAUGUACCAUAUGAAUAAGGAUCGGCUAACUCCGUGCCAGCAGCCGCGGUAAUACGGAGGAUCCGAGCGUUAUCCGGUUUUAUUGGGUUUAAAGGGAGCGUAGGUGGAUUGUUAAGGCAGUUGUGAAAGUUUGCGGCUCAACCGUAAAAUUGCAGUUGAAACUGGCAGUCUUGAGUACAGUAGAGGUGGGCGGAAUUCGUGGUGUAGCGGUGAAAUGCUUAGAUAUCACGAAGAACUCCGAUUGCGAAGGCAGUUCACUGGACUGCAACUGACACUGAGGCUCGAAAGUGUGGGUAUCAAACAGGAUUAGAUACCCCUGUAGUC